rnacentral:rRNA from 1 species
GACGUAGGGUGCAAGCGUUGUCCGGAUUUAUUGGGCGUAAAGAGCUCGUAGGCGGCUUGUUGCGUCGACUGUGAAAACCCGCGGCUUAACCGCGGGCUUGCAGUUGAUACGGGCAGGCUAGAGUUCGGUAGGGGAGACUGGAAUUCCUGGUGUAGCGGUGAAAUGCGCAGAUAUCAGGAGGAACACCAGCGGCGAAGGCGGCGCUCUGGGCCGGUACUGACACUGAGGAGCGAAAGCGUGGGUAGCAAACAGG